rnacentral:lncRNA from 1 species
AGAUGUUGAUUUCAUUUGGAUCCUUUUCUUUGUUUAUUUGAUAAUUAAAUUUGAUACAUAAGGACCGUCAACAGUAUGCCAAGCAUCCAGUGCUCCAUUAAUGGAUACAACUUCCACAAGACGCUUUGCGACACCGGGUCGGGUGUCAACAUAAUGGCCGCAGUCACCUGUGAGCUCCUAUUCGGAACCAUGCCCCUAAAACUGACAUACAUUCAGCUCCAGAUGGCAGAUCAGACAUUCUGAAAGGUUGAAGGUAUAGUAACUGAUGUCCCUAUCAAAAUAGACGAUCAUUUUGUCCAUAUAGAUUUUCAGGUUAUUGACAUUGGAGAAGACGAGUAUGAUCCACCCAUCAUCCUUGGAAGACCGUUUCUCAGCACCGUUAAAGCAACCAUCUACAUUGGAACUAGAUAAGUCCACAUGCACUUCCCCUCUGAGAAGGUACGCCGCCAUUUUACUGACCCUAAUUAUAUAGUUGAAGACUCUAAGUAGGUCAGGACAAGAAGAAGACGACGCAACCGCAACCAGAAGAGGCAAAUCAUCAAGGACGGAUGGACAGACUACGAAAGAGAAGUGGUAAGGUCUGAAGACAUACAGCUUGAACAGAAUUGUCCUAAGGAGGCCGUAGCACUGAGUCAGGUGUGGAGAGAGAAGAUAGUUAUACACGAAGAAGAGGCGCCGCCGGAACCACCGACUACGCUAUCCAGCGAAUCCCAGGACAACUGAGAAAAUAGAGAGUCCCGUUCGGAGGACUUAAAAACGCCGAACGCCUUGCCAAGAGGUAAACUUGAUAGUUAUCCUUUUCCUUUCAAUUAUUUAAAAUAGUUUGCUCAAUUAAUCAUGUUCAUACUAUCCUAAAAAGAAAAUAAAAAUGUUAAAAAUAGUAAGCCCCAUGUCAGUAUACAAGUGGUAUAAAACCCAUAAGUACAUUCACUAUGGUGGCAUAAAAAUAAAAUAAUGAUAUUUUUCUGCUUUAUAAAAUAAAAAUAUAAAAAUAAGAUUGUGAUCCUACCAAAGAGAGUAAUAUUUAUUGAGGAGGCUCAACAUGAUAAAGGCUAGAUAUUUAUGCUAACACCUAAUCAGUUCCACAAAGCUUUGUUGUCUAUUUGAGCUCCACAGAAUUUAAGGAUCAAGCAGACUAGCAGACGGAGGACAUUCUAAUCGUUGUGAGGUACUGCCGACUUUCAAAUACACCUCUGCCACGUGCUAGCUACAUUAGAAGAAAUUACGUCAAAAUUCAGCUUGAGGGAGAGCACCCCCAUUUAUCCCGAUAAGUAUUUCUAUACUUAUACUAUAUUAAAAUAAAAAUAUACAUAACCAUGAAAAAACCAAAUAAAGAUUUUGUGCAUAUAUAUAUAUAUAU